rnacentral:lncRNA from 1 species
UCCUGCCCCCAGCAGUGACUACCGGCAACUGCAAGGAGCUGUGGCUGUGCAACAAGCUGGUGGCACUGCUGGCCACGCUGGAGGAAGCCCAGGAGGGCACGGAGUUUGCCCACAUGGCCCUAGCACUCAGCAUCACUCUGGGGGACUGGCUGAAUGAGUGCAUGGCCUACCACCGGCUGGCCGCCCUGCACCAACGGCUGGGCGACGGCGAGCUGGCGGAGCACUUCUACCUCAAGGCCCUGUCGCUCUGCAACGCUGGAGUUCGACCAGGAGACCCUCUACUACCUGAAGGUUUACCUGAUGUUCGGCGACAUCAUCUACGACCUGAAGGACCCGUUUGAUGCAGCCGGGUACUACCAAGCUGGCACUGGCAGCCACUGUGGACCUGGGCAACAAGGAGGCACAGCUGAAGAUCUACACGCGGCUGGCCACCAUCUACCACAACUUUCUCCUGGACCGCGAGAGGUCGCUCUUCUUCUACCAGAAGGCCAGGACCUUCGCCACAGAGCUCAACGUCCGCAGGGUCAACCUGCCUCCUCUGCCACUCUGCUGGUGGGCCCCUUAGGUUGGCCCCAGCCACCCUCGCUGAGGACAGCAUCCGAGGGAGUGGGUUUUGUGCAAGGAGGGUGGUCUCCUGCCUCCCGUGGCUCAUUUUCUGGGAAAUGGAGGCAUGAAAGCAGGGUCAAAUAG